UACGGAGGAUCCGAGCGUUAUCCGGAUUUAUUGGGUUUAAAGGGUGCGUAGGCGGCCUUGUAAGUCAGGGGUGAAAGACGGUAGCUUAACUAUCGCAGUGCCUUUGAUACUGAAGAGCUUGAAUGAACUAGAGGUAGGCGGAAUGUGACAAGUAGCGGUGAAAUGCAUAGAUAUGUCACAGAACACCAAUUGCGAAGGCAGCUUACUAUGGUUUUAUUGACACUGAGGCACGAAAGCGUGGGGAUCAAACAGG
rnacentral:rRNA from 1 species